GGUGAACGCUUGGCGGCGUGCCUAACACAUUGCAAGUCGAGCGGUGCAGUUUGAAGCUUCGGUGGAAAGCUGCAUUAGCGGCGGACGGGUGAGGAAAACGUAGGAACGUGCCCCUUGGAGUUGGAUAGCCACGGGAAACUGUGGGUAAACCGACAUAGACUCGAGAGAGUAAAGGCCGAAAGGCGCCAAGGGAGCGGCCUGCGGCCCAUCAGGUAGUUGGUAGUGUAAAGGACUACCAAGCCGACGACGGGUAGCCGGUCUGAGAGGAUGGCCGGCCACAAGGGCACUGAGAGACGGGCCCUACUCCUACGGGAGGCAGCAGUGGGGGAUUUUGGACAAUGGGCGAAAGCCUGAUCCAGCGACGCCGCGUGGAGGACGAAGCCCUUCGGGGUGUAAACUCCUUUUCUCAGGGAAAAAGGAUGAUGGUACCUGAGGAAUAAGCCCCGGCUAACUACGUGCCAGCAGCCGCGGUAAAUCACGUGUA
rnacentral:rRNA from 1 species